AUUAGUAAUGUGCCGAACUUGCAACAAUGGGGUCUAAAACUUGAGAUAGGCUACACGAGUAAGCUUCACAACUCAGACCUGAGUAAACUGGACUCACGCAGUGCACACGCACACAGUUAGCAGAGGGAGCAUUCUGGAUUCCACAGCCAACGGUCGGCAGUGUUACGGUGUGGCUGACUUUUGGGAUGGGAGUGUAACGCAGCUUCACCAGUGACUUGCUCUGUCCGUUGGAAAACUGAAAAUGCAGAGCAAUGAACUGGACAUGUAAGUUGUGCUUGUUUGGAUGUGAAGUCAGAGGUCAGUUGCUCAAACACUACUGAUUGAAACAUGGAGGUUACAC